UUCUAAUAUGGCAGAUUAGUGCAAUGAACUUAAGAUUCAUUUAUAAAGGCUUACCUUUUAUUAGAAA
rnacentral:tRNA from 1 species